AUGAACGCUGGCGGCGUGCCUAAUCCAUGCAAGUCGAGCGAACAGACGAGGAGCUUGCUCCUCUGACGUUAGCGGCGGACGGGUGAGUAACACGUGGAUAACCUACCUAUAAGACUGGGAUAACUUCGGGAAACCGGAGCUAAUACCGGAUAAUAUAUUGAACCGCAUGGUUCAAUAGUUAAAGACGGUUUUGCUGUCACUUAUAGAUGUAUCCGCGCCGCAUUAGCUAGUUGGUAAGGUAACGGCUUACCAAGGCAAGGAUGCGUAGCCGACCUGAGAGGGUGAUCGGCCACACUGGAACUGAGACACGGUCCAGACUCCUACGGGAGGCAGCAGUAGGGAAUCUUCCGCAAUGGGCGAAAGCCUGACGGAGCAACGCCGCGUGAGUGAUGAAGGUCUUCGGAUCGUAAAACUCUGUUAUUAGGGAAGAACAAAUGUGUAAGUAACUAUGCACGUCUUGACGGUACCUAAUCAGAAAGCCACGGCUAACUACGUG
rnacentral:rRNA from 1 species